AGGGGUGUAGCUCAGCUGGCAGAGCGUCCGUCUCCAAAACGGAAGGCCAUAGGUUCGAAACCUAUCACCCCUGCCA
rnacentral:tRNA from 2 species